rnacentral:lncRNA from 1 species
GUGGAUUACUUUUUGAGUAAUGACAGGUAGGAUUGCCGUCAUUAGUGGACCUUUUUAGUUAAGAAGUUUCAACCCCAUCAUACUCGAAGUAUACGCCACUAAAUCUCUAUUUAGUGCUUUAGUUAAAGGAUCCGCUAAAUUCUCUAUUGUCCUUACAUAAUUUAGGAAAAUUAUUCCAUCUUUGAUUAAUUUCCUUAUGUAGUCAUGUCUCGACUCAUAUGUCUAGACUUUCCAUUGUAUACCUCGUUAUAUGCAUUUGUUAACAUGGCUUGACUAUCACACAUGAUAGGUAUUGAAGAGAUAUUCUUCAAUUCCAAAGGUAUCUCAUAUAAGAGAUCCUUAAGCCACUCAGCCUCUUUCCCGGUAUUCGAUAAAGCCACAAAUUCAGAUUUCAUGGUCGAGUGUGUUAUACAUGUUUGUUUCUUUGAUUUCCAAGAAACAGCACCUCCUCCAAGAGUGAAUACCCAGUCCAAAGUGGAUUUACUUUCAUCCGUGCUAGAUAUCCAACUAGUAUCGGUAAAUCCUUCCAAUAUCAUCGGGAAUUGUAGGCCCAAGUUCUUGGUUUUCUUUAAGUAUCCAAGAACUUUCACAAUAGCCUUCCAAUGAUCAUUACUCGGUUUACUAGUAAACUUACUAAGUUUACUUAUUGCAUAAGCUAUAUCCAGUCUUGUG